rnacentral:rRNA from 1 species
CACGUAGGGGCGAGCGUUGUCCGGAAUUACUGGGCGUAAAGGGCGCGCAGGCUGUUAUGCGAGUCUGCUGUGAAAUGUACCGGCUCAACCGGUGCCUUGCGGCGGAUACUGCAUAGCUGGAGUACUGGAGAGGGAAGUGGAAUUCCCGGUGUAGCGGUGAAAUGCUUAGAUAUCGGGAGGAACACCGGUGGCGAAGGCGGCUUUCUGGCCAGUUACUGACGCUCAUGCGCGAAAGCUGGGGUAGCGAACCGGAUUAGAUACCCCGGUAGU